rnacentral:rRNA from 1 species
AUACGUAGGUGACAAGCGUUAUCCGGAUUUACUGGGCGUAAAGGGCGUGUAGGCGGUCUUGCAAGUCAGAAGUGCAAUUCCUGAGCUCAACUCGGGCGCUGCUUCUGAAACUGCAGGACUUGAGUGCUGGAGGGGAUAGCGGAAUUCCUAGUGGAGCGGUAAAAUGCGCAGAUAUUAGGAAGAACACCGGUGGCGAAGGCGGCUAUCUGGACAGUAACUGACGCUGAGGCGCGAAAGCGUGGGGAGCAAACAGGAUUAGAUACCCUGGUAGUCCACACUGUAAACGAUGAAUGCUAGGUGUAAGAGGUAUCGACCCCUUUUGUGCCGGAGUUAACACAAUAAGCAUUCCGCCUGGGGAGUACGGCCGCAAGGUUGAAACUCAAAUGAAUUGGCGGG